rnacentral:tRNA from 1 species
AAGGAAGAUCCCUUACGGUCGUCCCUUGAGGCAACUCAAUAUGGGGACAAAGCCGUUUCGGAUCUCUUGGAACAUGGCCGACCAGUCAGGUCGGCCGAUCAAACAAAGGCGGUCGUCGCCGUCUUCGUUUCUCUUUCUUCGACAUACGCGUGAUCAGCGCUCGGGUGCUGGACCGCCGGUUUGGCUCGAGGGCAUUGUCCUUCGGUCGGGCCCGUGUGGUCGUUCUCACCACCUCCGAUCGCCUUCGGGCGGCAGACGUGGCGAGGGCCUGUAGCUCAGUCGGUUAGAGCGCACCCCUGAUAAGGGUGAGGUCGGUAGUUCGAAUCUACCCAGGCCCACCAUUUUGCCCGGCGAUCAUUUCCGUGAUCAAUCAGGACCAGCCGGGGCCAUAGCUCAGCUGGGAGAGCGCCUGCUUUGCAAGCAGGAGGUCGUCGGUUCGAUCCCGUCUGGCUCCACCAUCUUUUUGAUUUGAUGGAUGUCGGGGGCGUCGCGCGUGAGAAGAAAGUACAAGUUUCGCAGAUCCCACCUCGGGUGAGGGUUUGCAGGAUUUCUGACAUCGUGAAGAGAAGAUAUGUCCGGACGCACCUUUGGGUGUGGGCCUUCCAAUUGGAGGCCAAUUCCGCUCUCCGGCGGAGUUUACGGGCAGAUCUCGUGUGACACUGGUCUUUCCGAUCCGUCCGUCCGCCUCAUCAGCGGAUGGUGGAUCGACAGCCCGCCUUGGCGCCUCCUGACCGGGGUGCUGCUCUCAGGCUUCUUCCCUUUUGGGGAAGGGGUGAGGCGGGCAUUGUUUGGUGAGAGCGA